rnacentral:rRNA from 1 species
UACGUAGGUGGCAAGCGUUGUCCGGAUUUAUUGGGUUUAAAGGGUGCGUAGGCGGCCCUGUAAGUCAGUGGUGAAAUACUCCAGCUUAACUGGAGGGGUGCCAUUGAUACUGCAGGGCUUGAGUGGAGUCGAAGUAGGCGGAAUUGACGGUGUAGCGGUGAAAUGCUUAGAUAUCGUCAAGAACACCGAUAGUGAAGACAGCUUACUAGGCUUCUACUGACGCUGAGGCACGAAAGUGUGGGGAGCAAACAGG